rnacentral:rRNA from 1 species
UACGAAGGGGGCUAGCGUUGCUCGGAAUCACUGGGCGUAAAGCGCACGUAGGCGGAUCUUUAAGUCAGGGGUGAAAUCCUGGAGCUCAACUCCAGAACUGCCUUUGAUACUGGGGAUCUCGAGUCCGGAAGAGGUGAGUGGAACUCCGAGUGUAGAGGUGAAAUUCGUAGAUAUUCGGAAGCACACCAGUGGCGAAGGCGGCUCACUGGUCCGGUACUGACGCUGAGACGCGAAAGCGUGGGGAGCGAACAGG